rnacentral:rRNA from 1 species
UACGGGGGGAGCAAGCGUUGUUCGGAUUCACUGGGCGUAAAGGGCGCGUAGGCGGUCAGCACAAGUCAGUUGUGAAAUCUCCGAGCUUAACUCGGAACGGUCAACUGAUACUGUGCGACUAGAGUGCGGAAGGGGCAACUGGAAUUCUCGGUGUAGCGGUGAAAUGCGUAGAUAUCGAGAGGAACACCUGCGGCGAAGGCGGGUUGCUGGGCCGACACUGACGCUGAUGCGCGAAAGCCAGGGGAGCGAACGGG